AUCGAACGCUGGCGGCAUGCCUUACACAUGCAAGUCGAACGGCAGCACGAAAGCUCUUGCCCUUUUGGUGGCUAGUGGCGAGCGGCCGAGUCAUGCAUUCGAACGUACUGCGCAAUGGGGGUUCUCUUACCGGAUGGUUUGCUCAUACCGCAUAUGCUUUGAGAUGGAAUGUGGGGGCUUUUCGUUCCCUACGUUAUUCGAUAGGCGCAUGUCUGAUUAGCUAGUUGGUGGGGUAAAGGCCUACCAAGGCGACGAUCUGUAGCGGGUCUGAGAGGAUGAUCCGCCAGACGGGGACUGAGACACGGCCCAGACUCCUACGGGAGGCAGCAGUGGAGAAUUUUGGACGAGGGGGGCAAGCCUGAUACAGCCAUGCCGCGUGUCUGAAGAAGGCCUUCGGGUUGUAAAGGACUGUUGUUAGGGAAGAAAAAGAUAGUGUUAAUACCAGUAGCUGCUGACGGUACCGAAAGAAUAAGCACCGGCUAACUACGUG
rnacentral:rRNA from 1 species